rnacentral:lncRNA from 1 species
CGUACAUUGAUCUUUGGAAUUAAAAUCGUUCUAACAUAAAUUUCAAUAUUUGAAAUCACCGUAAGUCAACAAUCAGAUAUUUCGUUUUUAUCUUACCAUCAUAUUGGUUAUCCUUACGGGGAUUGAUGCAGUCAAAUUUUUUAUAUCUAUCCCUAUGGAUCUAAUAAGUCAUGCACCUGGCAGUUACUAAGUAGUCCUUACGGUAACCCACCACUUACAUUUGAGUUUAUAACGC